UGUUGUAAGCGAAGUAUGCGAAGGUGUU
rnacentral:sRNA from 1 species